rnacentral:rRNA from 1 species
GACGAACGCUGGCGGCGUGCCUAACACAUGCAAGUCGAACGGUAAGGCCCUUCGGGGUACACGAGUGGCGAACGGGUGAGUAACACGUGGGUGAUCUGCCCUGCACUUCGGGAUAAGCCUGGGAAACUUGGUCUAAUACCGGAUAGGACCACUUCCUGCAUGGGUGGGUGUGGAAAGCUUUUGCGGUGUGGGAUGGGCCCGCGGCCUAUCAGCUUGUUGGUGGGGUGAUGGCCUACCAAGGCGACGACGGGUAGCCGGCCUGAGAGGGUGACCGGCCACACUGGGACUGAGAUACGGCCCAGACUCCUACGGGAGGCAGCAGUGGGGAAUAUUGCACAAUGGGCGCAAGCCUGAUGCAGCGACGCCGCGUGAGGGAUGACGGCCUUCGGGUUGUAAACCUCUUUCAGCACCGACGAAGCGCAAGUGACGGUAGGUGCAGAAGAAGGACCGGCCAACUACGUGCCAGCCGCCGCCGUAA